GGUUGAUGGACCACCAUGGUGUCUUCUGAAAAGUCUUCUGAAAAGUGUCCUUUUACAAAUGAAAGUGAUAGAACGAAGGAGGCAGUGGGAGAAGAGGUCUCCCGCUCUCCAUCCGUCUCUUCCUGUGCACCUGUUUUUCUCCACUUCUCCACGUGCUGGAAGGGAAUCUCCUGAUCGCAUCCCUGGUGGACAUCUGCAGGUGCAUUGUUGGAGGAACAUCUGUGGCUCGUCUUCAGUCCUGGGGCGUCCCCUCUGCAGAUCCCUCACCAGGGGCCAGAUAUUCAUUUCUGAAGCCUUUUGAAAAACUCUGGGCCAAGACCUUAUAUCAUAUGGCUUAAGGGUCCAUUCUCCAAGGAGCCUUAUUAUGGGGAAACAUCUGAGAGUGAAGAUUUAAAAGAUAUCUAAAACCAACGUACUAGCCAAGAAGAAAGAGAAAUGCUCUUGUUUAGACGUUUGAACUGGACAGUCCACUCCAUCCCUGGAAAUGCACCAUUCUGAGAUUAUGAAAUCACCAAGGAUGCCAAAGAAAAGUGAAAGAAAAAAAAUCAUCCCUGAAAACAAAAAAGGAAGUGAUGGUUUGGACUGAAAGGUCUGCUAUAAUAGGAAGAACUCCACGUCCCAGCUUUGCCACUCACUGUGUGACUUUGCACAGAUCACUUAACCUCUCUGGGUCUGUUUUCCUAUUUAUAAAACUUGAAAUGAUCCUUUCCAAGUUCAGUAUUCUAAUAUUCUGGAAUGUAAUAUUUAUGAAUAU